UCUCCUAAUUACCCACUCGCUCACUGAGAGAGCACUCACACACACACACACACACACACACACACACACACACACACACACUCUGAAAACAUAUGCAGAAAGUCCCUGCCCCACCCACAGCCUCUCUCACACACACACACUCAUUCAGUCAGUGAGGGAGAAGCUCCACUCCACUCCUCACACACACCCUCAGUCACACACACACACACACACUGCUCCUGCUGCCGCUGCCAUGAAGCCCACUGGAAUAGUUCUGCUGGUCGUGUCCAUCACACUCCUCCAUAAAGGGCACUCCGAAGAGCUGUCUGCUCUCGCAGGUGACUCUCUACAAGCAAAUCUAACCAACCCAGCCGGUGAGUCUGAUACAGCAAAUCCAACGCCACAAGCCGCAGGCGGUGAGUCAGUCAGUGUGUGAAUAGUGUGUGAUCAGUGUGUGAAUAGUGUGUGAUCAGUGUGUGAAUAGUGUGUGAAUAGUGUGUGAUCAGUGUGUGAAUAGUGUGUGAAUAGUGUGUGAUCAGUGUGUGAAUAGUGUGUGAUCAGUGUGUGAAUAGUGUGUGAUCAGUGUUUGAAUAGUGUGUGAUCAGCCACGGAUGGUAAGUAAAGAAGUACCGGAACAAUCAAUGUUCAACAAUUAGAGUUUGGUCACUUAUUGAACUAAAUCAUUUGGAUGGAAAGUGCACAGCCACAGCAGACCCAAGCUAAAGAAAACGAGAUUUUAAGAGAAGGGGAGGCCAACUGUCAUAUUUAGCUAAUAAUGGCCAUGAUGUUUGUUUACCUUUUUCUUUACGACAAAAAACAAGCAUGGCAAAGCUCAGCAAGCAGACUGGUCAAAAUACUGAGCACAUGAUCGGGGCUCAGAAUUAGUCACACACCAAUCAGAACCUCAGGAUCGAUAGAUAAAAGGACCAUGGACCAAUCAGAACCUCAGGAUAGAUAGAUAAAAGGGCCACUUUUUGGAACCUUUGUCAAAAACCUUCUUUAUGUACAAACUGUUUUUUUUAUAGUUUUAUAUUGGUAAAUGCAUGGAAAAUAUUUUUCAGUAUUCUAGCUUGUUUAUGGAUCAGAUAUAUAUUUUUAAUAACAUUUACUUUCCCCCUGAAUUUCAGUUUAUUUUACUACAGUGCACUGAGGAAUUUAAAUGUACAUUACAUUUGUAAAUGUAUAAAUGUAAAUGUACGAUUUAUAAAUGUGUUGUGACUUUAUAUUGCAGUGAUCAUGUAAAUAGUUUGUUCUGUGGGGAAAUCGUAAAUGCCAUUGCUCAUCACAGUAACAGGUUUAUACAGUAGUGUUUUGUACUGAGCAGUUCUUUACGUUGCCAGUGUGGUUAGUACGUAAUUUCCUGUUUAUUUAUCUCUAGAAAAUCUGUGUCCCUUUACAAGUGUUUGUAUGUGUGUGCAAAAUUAGGUUUAGAUGUA
rnacentral:lncRNA from 1 species